CCUUUUGAAAAGGUUGCCUGAGAAAGUUGCAAGUUGUUCUUAUUAAAUUAUUAUAUUUUUGGUAUAAAAACCGAAAGAUGAGAUGCUAUAAUAAAGAUUUAAUUAAGUGUCCUCAGAGAAUAUCUAAACCGAGAUUGAGGACACGCAUGUUUCAAUGUCACACGUCGUUACCCCCAAUAUUAUUAUAUCCGUAAAAAAAAAAAAAAAAAGGAGUGCUCGAAGAAUAAAUACACCACUGACAUUUCUAAUCCAACAGUAAGUCCCCCCACAUUUCUUGUGCACCGUUUUCAUUUGGGGGAAGGAUCAAUGAACAACCAGUUUGAAAUUUCUCCUAUAUAUACAUAUAUGUGCUUGAUUAAUGAAAUAAUGAGGUGCAAUAAUUCAUACAUUUUCAGAGGCAAAUGGGUGAACUAAAGCCAUAUUUAGCAGUGUUUAUAAUACAGUUAAUAUAUUCCGGGCUGACUUUGUUGUCCAAGGCAGCGUUUAACGGAGGAAUGAAUACCUGUGUGUUUAUCUCCUAUAGACAGUUGACUGGUACCGUUAUUAUGGUCCCUUUGGCCUUGAUACUUGAAAGAAAAAGGGCAGUGCCAGUGUCACUUUCAUUUUUUACCUUCUGCAAGAUUUUUGUGUUUUUCAUUUCUUGGACUCACUCUGGCUUUAAAUAUGCAAGCUAUUGCCCUUGUUUACACGUCUGCCACGUUAGCCGCCGCAAUUGUUAAUUCCCUCCCCGCAUCUACGUUUUUCUUUGCUGUGCAGAAUGGAGAAGGUAAAUAUAAGGACAAAAUCUGGAAUUACAAAGAUUGGAAGUGUAUUAUUGUGCUUGGUUGGUGUAGCGACCCCUAGCAUCUUACAAGGGACCCCAGUUAAGGACAGAACAUCACAUUUUAUCUAGAUACCACCAUCACCACAGUCCACGCCAUGAAGACCAUUUUUCAUCUUGGCAAAAGAUGGAUAUUGGGUUCUUUAGUCUUGUUCUUAAGCGUCAUCCUGUGGAGUUUUUGGCUUACAAUUCAGUUGAUGAAUUGAUGACUGGACUCACACUGAUCCAAAAAAGAACAGCCUCAAAUUCUUGAAAGCUACCCUGCAAAACUGAAGUUCUCGAGCCUUCAGUGCCUGUCAAGUUCAAUUCAGUCUUUUGGUAUUGAUAUAGCUUUUGAAAGGGAUAUUCAGCAGUGGAAGUUGGGUUGGAACAUGAGACUGCUUGAAGUUGUUUAUUGUGGGGCACUGGUGACUGGGGUAUCCUACUACUUGCAAGCUUGGGUGAUCGAAAAGAGAGGACCAUUUUCCCAAGUAAUGUGGAACCCACUGAGUUUUAUACUUGCUACAACAGGUUCGAUAUUGUUCUUGGGCGAGCCACUAUUUUGGGAAGGUGAGUUGCAAUGAAACAAUGAUGCUUAGGAGUUAGGAUAGGAUUAACUGAAUUAUACUGACCUAAUUAUAAACAAUAAAAUAAUUUUUUAAAAUUUAAAUAUAAAUAAAUUUAACUAAUUUUAUCUUAAUGAUAGUAUCUCAAGGCUGAAAUUUUAUUUUUAAUGAUUUUCUUUUUAGUCUUGAUAAAAUUCCAAUAAAUAACACUUUAAGGAAAAGUUUUUUUAAAAAAAAAUUAAAUAGUAAAAUUAAAUUACAUUAACUAAGUUUUU